rnacentral:rRNA from 1 species
UACGUAGGGUCCGAGCGUUGUCCGGAAUUACUGGGCGUAAAGCGUGCGCAGGCGGCUUCUUAGGCAGUGACGUGAAAGCCCCGGGCUCAACCCGGGAGGGUCGUCGGUGAACCGGGGGGCUUGAGGCCGGUAGAGGUGGGUGGAACUCCUGGUGGAGUGGUGAAAUGCGUAGAGAUCAGGAAGAACACCCGUGGCGAAGGCGGCC